AAAACCCUGCCUUGUGCGAUCACUACAGUUAUGUUGGACCUACACUCGAAAUUAGGGAGUCGGACUCUGGCGUUGGAUUGCAGACCUCCCGGCGCGCCUUCGCGGCACGUUGGACGAAGGGAGCGUGAAAACCUCAGGAGACACCCACCUGCUGACGGCAGGGUACCAAUGACUGUUCCCGGCAAGGCGGGGGAUUU
rnacentral:other from 1 species